rnacentral:rRNA from 1 species
UACAGAGGGUGCAAGCGUUAAUCGGAAUUACUGGGCGUAAAGCGUGCGCAGACGGUUGCGUAAGUCAGAUGUGAAAUCCCCGGGCUCAACCUGGGAAUGGCAGUGGAAACUAGGAGACUUGAAUCUGGCAGAGGGGGGUGGAAUUCCACGUGUAGCAGUGAAAUGCGUAGAGAUGUGGAGGAACACCGAUGGCGAAGGCAGCCCCCUGGGAUAACACUGACGCUCAUGCACGAAAGCGUGGGGAGCAAACAGG